AAGUGUUAAUUAAAUUUACCAGGGUACUAUUAGUUAAGAUCUUUAAACCCAAAGAAUUUGGCGGUAUCUCAUUCCAUUCAGAGGAACCUACCCCGUAAUUGAUAGUGCACGAUUAACUUUACUUAAUUUAUUUGUUUGUAUAUCUCCGUUAUCAGAAAAUCUUUUUAGAGUUAUAAUUUUCUUAAUUUAUGAUUAUAAAAUAUUUCAGGUCAAGGUGCAGCUUAUGAUUAAGAGGAGGUGGGUUACAAUAGGUUUUUGUUUAUAAUGGAUUUAAUAGUGAAAUACUAUUAAUGAAGGUGGAUUUGAUAGUAAUUUGAUUUACUUAGUUUAAUUGAUAUAGGCUCUGAGGU
rnacentral:rRNA from 1 species